CGGUUUAAUUGGAUGGAAAAUAUGAGCGUCUCGUCUGGUUGUCCCG
rnacentral:pre_miRNA from 1 species